rnacentral:rRNA from 1 species
UACGUAGGCAGCGAGCGUUGUUCGGAGUUACUGGGCGUAAAGAGUGCGUAGGCGGUUGACUAAGUUUGGUGUGAAAUCUCCCGGCUCAACUGGGAGGGUGCGCCGAAAACUGGUUGGCUGGAGUGUGGGAGAGGUCAGCGGAAUUCCUGGUGUAGCGGUGAAAUGCGUAGAUAUCGGGAGGAACACCAGCGGCGAAGGCGGCUUUCUGGACCAAUACUGACGCUGAGACGCGAAAGCGUGGGGAGCAAACAGG